AUGUUAGCGUGGUGGUACCAUAGCCGAUGAGGUUAAGCCGAGGCGUGUCUAUUGCUAGUUGAAAACUAUACCCAAUACCCCGCGCAGUGACCUGAAACAUGGCCGAUAGCACAAUUUUUAAUAGCUCCUAUGGAAG